UCGGGCCUGUAGACGGCACUGCUCCAGGCUACGCUAUAUAGCUCCUUUACACGUAUAAAACGGGAGGACCUGGCCAGGACCGUACCACCAGAUACCCUACUUUUAUUCGAAUUUUUUACCCCGCCUGAUGGUCAAUACGGUAGUGCCAUCUUAACUGGUCCUUGCUAACCCCUUCGGUUUUUGGAAGUAAUUUGGUAAAGCGACUCUUUGGUGUCGGAUAUUACAUAAACCAAACAAGUUUGUCAGAUACUUGUAUCUCACUUGGGAAGUAAUACACAAGGAAGAUAUUAGAAAUUUCCUAAAACCUUUUUUGAUAACAAACUAGGUAAGGCCCCAGCGUGAUCAAUUAACCUGACUCUACUCUAGUUCAUACUUAAUUAUGAGUACAAAAUUGUUUAAAGAAUCAAUCAUUUGGAAUAUACUAAGAAUAUACUCUAUAUCUUCUAUAUUACAUUUUAUUUCCAACCGUUAAUGCAUUUUUAUUUUUUACCUCCUUUUUAUCUCUUUGUGCAGACUCAGACGCUGAAGGAUUCUCAAAGUCGAUACAUGAUAGAGUUCGAGAUAUACGGUAAGUCGCACGAUAAGGUGAUCCGUUCGAUAUUCGUUCGUUGUAGGACUGUAGGAUAUUGAAAUCCACCUGUUCGGUCAGAGCGCGCAACUACACGUACUCUACGUAUCUACAUGUGUCGCGCUCCCACAGCCAGUACCGCGUAUUUGAAUAAAAUCGGAAUCUUUCAUAUUGAAUCCGCAUUCGUGGAUCUUAACUCGUCAUGUGCAGUUUCCUUAGAGAUCCGUUCGUAUGUAGUAGUAUAUAUACAUUGCUCGGCGUCAGUCACGCUCUCACGUCUGCUUUGUUUUACAUAGUUUACAUACGGAGAAGAUAACACCGGAUGUUUGAAAGACGACAAGGCGAUGAAUUUCCGGCGAGACAGAUACCGUACAACGAAAUAAAUCAAACAUCCUACAACUAUGCAAUUCCUGCGUUGGUAGGAGUGAGGGGGACCAAGUAAUCGAAUAUAUACGAAAAACAUAACCUCCACCUUCAAUUUUUCGAAGUGGAAGCAAAAUCAAUUAUUGUUCGAGCACAGAAAAAUUGGUGGUCGAUCAAGUCAGUCAACAGCUGUAGGUGAAUGGAAACUCAAAUUGCGACCAUUAUUUCCCAAUAAUCGAUGUGUCGAAAGCAAAACACACGGGCUUUAUGCGCAAAGCAUAAAUACGAUUAGCCUCAUAAUGUUAAAAACAUUGAUGAAACGCCACAGUGUCUUUUUAAAAUGUAACAAUAAGAUUCAAAUAUUGAUAACCAUGGAAUUUCUGCAACAAGAGAAUAUUUAAACUGGGCGAUUGCCGAUGAAGUUGGUUUACUCAGGGAAAGCAGAAGACUUGUUCGUACUUGCAGAGGAGUGUCUGGCGUGCUUCUCCAGCCGAACUUCCUGGACGAAAUUUCAACCGAUUAGAUUUCGUUCGGUUCUGGUACGAGAGAGAUCGAAUCUCCGGCAAAGGGAGCAGAAACGGUUCAUUAGGUGCGUAACAGAGCAAAUACAUACUUCGAGAAGGAGAGUGGAAGACAAAGUGUACCUGGGUAAAUGAGAAAAUAAGUGCGUUCGCAUGAAAGAAGAAAGGAAGAGGCUGUAGUUCGAAGUGGUAGCUUGCUUUCGAAUUUUGUUUUACGCUUGAUAGAUUGUGUCUGAAUCGUAUCACCGGAAAAUUUGGCGGUAAGUUGUGCUUGGCGUUGUCGUCUCUUCCAUGAGUUCUAUAACUGUCCUUUUUGUCUCGCUUGAUAUGUUUGUAAGAAUAUGCUGCGUUUGAAGCUUUAAAGUCACUGUUUUCUUCUAUUUUGUCUUUUAGAUUUUCAAUUUUUAUUUCGUUCAGAAAUAUUCGUAAACGGACAAAGUAUGUACAUACAUCAACCAGUAACUUCCUUCAAAAUAUUCCUAUGCAUGGUAAAUUCUAUCCCUUCAGCAAUGAAAGAAGUCGAUUUACUUUCUUCCGAUUGAAUCUUUGUAAGUAUGUAUGUAUAUUACAUGUGUGCUUGUAUCAGGAUAAAGCUGCUCUUAAAAUCUCAUUUCCAUGAAACUCAAACAGAAAUUCUAAUAUCCUUUUUAAUAAAUACAAAACUACUAUUACUAUAUAUUUCAACCAAAGCAAAUAUCAAUCAGAAUUUACGAUGGUGUCAGAACUUUUUUAUUUCAUCAAGAUGUAAUUGCGUUCGUUAUCCAUCGUUGGUUUUUAUUCGUAGUCGUGUCGCUUUCAUAGGAACACUUAACACGCGGUUCAUUGUUUCUCCAUGACAUUAAAAUCGCUCGACUGAACCAGUCGAUUCAAUUAACAGCUGACGAUAACGAGAGGUGUGGAAUUUGUUUGCUGCUUUUUCUAUCGGGUUUCACUUUCCCAAUUCCGAAUACAGUUUCCGGUUGAACAAAUCGGUGGAAACGCGCGAAACAACCACAUAGAUUAUCGUUUCGCGCCUCGACAUGUCGGUAAAGUAAGGUGUCAAGUGCACAACACACGACCAUCGACACUACCGCCCCCUCCCCUAUUGGUUGUAACCGAGGAUAAAGACGCCAUCAUUUCCAUUCCACGGAAUUAGCUAGUUCAGCAUGAAAUACAAUUUCGUGUUGGUUAAUUUCGGAGCUGCUUUGAAUCGGGAAUCACAACGUUUAACGAUUCGUCGAGUUCCUACUACUGUGUAACUUAUUAGACUUGCUUUCAUGUACGCGAAUACACCGGAUGUGAAUAAUGGAUUUGUUUGUAAUGGUAAAUAACAGUCAGCAAGAAUAACGAGGUUAGGAAUUCGAGAAAUAUCCAAGGAACCGCGAUGCUCGAUUAAAUUUCACAUCGUAAUUAGAGGGAUUUGUACUUGACAUGACCGCGGAAUAUUUUGACGGCGAAAAGCUAUGUUCUGUUGACAGAUCGUGAAAACCGUCGCUCUUUUUUCGCGAAUCCUGUCCGUGAAAAUCGAACAUGGCUAGGCAACCUUUGUCACUGGACGUCCGGCUGGCAUCAAAGGACGCCGCAGAAAUAAUUCAAGUAUAAAUGAAAAGGGGCAAGAGGGAAGAAAGAUCAGGGGUUGUCGUCGACAAAGAGCCGGUCGACAGAGAUAGAUGGAUGACGGAACGGAGAUCGAUAUAGGGGUCAUCAACUGCGGUGUGAAAAAGGAUGCGCUCUAACAAUGAGAAUUAGAAAUCGAAUUCGCAGUAGAGAAAGAGAUAUAUUGCAUAGCAUAGAGAUACGAUAUAAUAUGUAAUAUCUGUACGAUGCUGUUCAAACAUCAAUCUUUUAUUUAAUGAAAGGCUAGUUUGAUAUUUUUAAUGAAAAAAGUAUGAAUUAGAAGACUUAUUCUUUUUUAAUAUUUAAUUGGUAUAUAUAGUUAUAAAGAAUAAGUUGGGUUAUUGUUUAUCGGUAUUUAAAAAAAUUGUUAAAUUGAAUUAAUUUUUAAACGAUGUGAGGAAAUGGAAUAUUAAAAAUCAUGCAAAGUUAGAUUUAUGCAGUCUACCUGGAAAUAUUUUUAUGCAGGCACAUUGUAAAGCUUGUCAAUAAAAGACAGGUAUAAUUUGGUGUAUGGUACAUUCAAUCUACAUAUGUACAUGUAUAUUCGUUAUAAAGGCAUGUAUUGUUUAUUUUAUUGAUAUGUACAUUUUUUCUAUACUUAUGUAAAGGAUCUCUAUUUUAUAGUAUGCAUAUAAUGCACAUAUGCACAUUUACAUACAUAUCUUAAUGAUAAAAGAUUAACAAAUUAUCAAAUACGCAUACCUACUCUUUAUCUUUAUUGUUGGUUACUUUUAUGAUCGUUAUAAGUAUCGUAACCCUUCGUUAUCGAUAUUAACGAUAGAACGUUUAUUAAAUUGCAAUGAUGAAAUUUUAAUAAAUUUUGUAUGAUCGGUUUUUAACAUUUUUUAAAGAACCAUUGAUAAUUUGAUAGAAGCAUAAUACUAGGAGCUCCGCUAAAGGAUUUGCAACUGUGUACAACGUUUCAAAGGAUACUUGCUGAUUUAUCUGGUAAUUUCAGCGUUGAUAUGACCUUCACGAACCGCUGAGACACGCUAGAUAUUCGAGAUCGAAAUGUCGAGGAGCUGAUACGGAAACUGAGUGAAGAUUAAGAUAUCUACACGCAAGAAGAAGGAAAUUGGUCGCGGAGAAGGUGAGAUGAAAAUUUUCAACGGGACAAAACAAACGAAAAUAUCACCGGAGACAUUGUGAAACCGCGGGAUAGGUAUCCUUGAAUAAAGAAAAUAUAUAAAAGAAAGGAAAACAAGACGAUAAAAGAUAAUAAAAGACGGCGACAGAAGUAAACGGAGUGAAGAAGAAGUCUAGGGAAACCGAAAUCCUCCAGGAAAUGGAAAAAUCAAGAAAAAUCAGCUGGCUCUGAACACUUGCCGAGACUGUGAACUUUAAAAGGAGGAAACUGCGGAGACAGGAAGCGACUGCUGCUUGGAAAAAUCCAGCUGCACUCUGGAGAUUAAGGAAAGGGGCUGCGAAGUCGAAAGAUUGGGUGUAACGGGUGGAAGAAGAAAUUAAGGGGAGAACAAACCCAGAUGGAACUUUAUAUAAUAGAGGAAGGACAGAAAGAUCAUUUUAUUGUUAGAGAUAGAAAAUGUUAAUACACGAUACUUUGUGAUAAGUUGAAUAUAAAUUUUAGAAACGAGGAAGUUCCAGCUCUGAAAUAAAAUAAAUAUCUACUAUUAAUUACAAUUUAUUGGUUAUUUUAAAAGAAGUAAAGUAUCUGUAUCUACUAUUAAGAAAAAGAAUUCUAAAACGACUUGAAUUUUUAUAAUACAUACAUUGGACGUAAUAUUUUUAAAGAGAAGAAAUAAUUGUUCUGUGACAACGAAGAAGACGAAUUUCAAUAUCUCAAUAACUGUGAAAAAGAAGAAAUAAUUCUAACAAAAAAGAAGAAGAGGAAUUUUAAUAUUACAAAAUAUAUUAAACGCUAUCAAAACUAAUUUUCAUUACGAUUCACAGAAACAUCCACUUAAAUUUUUCUUGUGCAAAUUUUAUUCUAAUCGGUCGAUUCUAAACCACUCGAUUAAUUUUGCCGGUCGCUUAAGAGACCAUUAUUCUCGCGUACUUUCUGCGUACAGAUAUCCUCUGGAAAAUAUAACAAAACAAUUCCAGAAGCACGCUAUAAACUUGCUCCUAUUGUGUCCCGGGCAAAGAGAAGAGGUGUGGCGCUUUUCGACGCGCAGGAAUACCAUGGAUGCGUGAAUGAACAAAGAGAAGAGCCAGGAAGAGAAGUUAGGAGAGCAAGGAGCAAACGAAAGCCCGGGGGAAUCCAGAAAAUCCGCGUCGAAUGCCGUAGGAGCCGCAGAGGAGACUGCGUUGUAAAAAAAAAAAAGGAAAACCCGAAGAGGAAAAAGAAGAAGAGAAAAAGGGGACAGGGAAUGGAAAGGUGUAAUAGUUGGCAGGAAGGAAAAAGAAACGCGUAGCGUAAGAGGGAAAAAAGCAAACAGACCGCGUGAAACGCGUCAGACUAGACUCCCGCAAUCGCGGUCCACUUUGCUAACGAGCUUCUGGAGAUGCGUCGAAACGCAUAAAGCGCGGACACACCGCGUGUCUCGGCAAUUAUCGCGAUAAUUAUACCGCUGUUACAAUGCAACAGACCGGCUGGCUGCGACGCUUUGCCCGAGGACAAAAAAGGAUAACAGUAGUUUGAAGCUGACAUGUUUUAAUCUUCAGUAAUGGACGGUUGGAUGGGAGUCGAAUGGCAAUUCGGUGGCGAAGUGUUAGUCGAGAUAAGGAACAGUAGCUGAUCUUGAUUUGAUAGCGACUGACGCGAGAAAUACCAGAGGAACAGAGCGUGAAGAAUAAUUGUUUUUCGAGAACUGGAAAUGAGGAUUCUUCUUGAGAAAUUGGGGUGCAGUUGAGGGUGAAAAGCUAUUUUCCGUUGAAGUUGAAGAUUUAUGGAAUAUUCAGGUGGAUUUGAUGGUAGAGAAUUAUCUUUCUAAAGAUUGGCGAUUUAUUGGAAAUGUUGUAAAAAUGACAAAGUCGGUAAUGGAGAAUUCUUUUGUUAAAUAUUGCCGUCUUUCUAUACGGUCGAUUACAUAUUAAUUAUUAUAAAUUCCUUUCUUUCGUCGGAGAAUACCAACCACCAGGUGAAUCUUCCACCAAGAUGAUUCCAGUGUUAUUGUAGACGUGACAGACUUGCAUCAAAGGUUUCCAGUCGAUAGACAGCCCCUAAAGAUCAUUCAAGACCUCUGCAACUAAAGGCAUAUGAAGCUAGCAGGUACAAAGACUCUUUCAAGUAGAAGCAGCUCUUUCAACAUUCUACCAUAUUUAAAGUUUUCUAUUUCGUUAGUUAAUUUCAUCAAGCACCCGAAGGUUUCAUCAAGGACUUCCUCUAGCCUUAUCAAAGAUUUUUUUGAGGACUCCCUGAGCAUAUUGGCUUCACUUCGGUUCUAACUACCAAAGAUUCUCGGAUGCAAGCCUCGCUGCUUAACUCAAAGGAUUUUCUACGGUUUCUCAAAGGGACGCGGCUUACACACACCUGGAAGCUUCCUAUCGACCUUGACUGGAAAGAUUUAUUUCGAAUUCACCGGUUAAAACGUUUAUACGCUUCCUUGAAGAUCGUGUGUCAAGAGGCUGAGAUUUUUCUCGCAGACGAGGGACAUUAGCCAGCUAAACAUUAAGGGGAAUUACGCUAAUGAAUAUCUAACCAGAAACCCCAACGUUAAAGGAAAUUAUGCUAAUGAGCUUGGAGAGACACAGAGGGGGAUGAGGGAAAGGGAGACGCCUGUGCGUCUUGUUGCAUUAUCCACGAGAUAUUCGGAAGAGGAACGGAGACUUAAUUCGAGAGAAAUGCUGGAAGAAAUGAGAGAAGGAAGAGGAAGAUCCCCAACUCGUCUCGAGUUUUCAUCUUUUGGUUUCGUAGACUGUUUCCUUCAUUUAUUAUGGCUGCUGGGCACUCUGCUUGCAUGCAGUCUUCAUAAAUUUUGGUAAGUUGUUGGAAUGCAAUUUUGUUUCUUCUGUAAGUAAAUUUGAUUUGCAUUGCAAAUUUGUUUUAUGUACUUGUGCUGUUUUCGGAAAUACUUAUGGAAUGAAUGGUUGGAGCUGUGAGAAUGUUUUAAUGACUCCUUUAAUGAUUCUCAAAUUUUAUUGUUUCAAUUCAUGUGCUUUGUCAAUCCUCAAAAUUUUAAUCUAUAUUUAUUGAUAUCUAACUUGCUCUGAUACUCGACUUUUAAUUUGGAAAAUAGGUUGACUA